rnacentral:tRNA from 1 species
GGGGAUUUAGCUCAGUGGUAGAGCACUUGCCUAGCAAGCGCACAACCCUGGGUUCGGUCCCCAGCUCCG